UUUCUCUUACUCUUUGUGCUUAUUAUUCAUAUUUCUUUCUUGGAUUUCCAAGAGAGUCAUUUUAAACCCACAGUACUCCUAAACACUGACAGCUUGAGACGCAUCCUAAUAUAUGGUGUCUUCGUGCUUUUCUCUUUUACAAUAACAGUUUUUAGGAAGAGAUCUGCGGCAAGUCUCCGGGUUUUGGAGUAAAAAUUCAGGCGCCUUGGCGAUAGGCCCCAUUUUAGGAGGUAUUUCCAGCGAUUUGGUCCCGCAGACGCCAUUUUUGCACGCCGCUGCUUCUCUCCCUCCCUCCUUCCCCAUCUGCCCCCCUCCCCCGAAAGCCAUUCCCAGCAUACAGUUCAGGUCCAUUUUCGACAAAAAGAGAAGAGAGCGAAAGACUGGGGGAGGGGAGCACAGAAAAUACAGAAAACGAGAAAAGCGAUGGGCUUCACUGACACGGGGUACAUGCAUGUGUUCAGUAACGGGGCUAUGGAUCAUUUUAGGCGUGCAUGCUUCAUACAGCACGCGUAGUGCAAUACACAUAAUAUUCAACUAAUAUGACAGUCAUAAUGGAGUGCCUCGACGUCAGGGUUUUUUGUGAGUGUACUGAAAAGAAACUCCAUGUUUCAAAUGCCGUCUAGAAGCAUUGGGAAUUACUGUGUUUAUGCUUAUAAAUACCUGUACGCAUUAGGACAUUCCAUAGCUGAUGUUUGCCUGUAAAACAUUGUACUUGUAAAGUGCAGUGCGUUCCUAACAUUUGGAGAAAGGCUUUGCAGUUUGCGAAAACGUCUCCUGCAGGAACAUGGCAGCACAUCACUCUGCAGACAUUUCUAAUCACUGACUGGAGCAGACUGGCCCACACAGACCGUUACAUGGAAGAGAGUGCAUGGCAUCAUGACUGUGAGACUCAUUGUCGAAACGGAUCCCCCCCCCCCCCUCGGUAGUUCAGCUUUCAUUUGGGGAUCUUUGAGAAGAGCACGCAGAUAAACUCCCGUUUCAGGCAUGCAAACACAUUACGGGUCACCGCCAUUUGUUUGCACGGUGCCCACAUGUAUGUAGUGUUGAUAUAUUUUGUGUCAUAUUAGAAACACAUCCGUCACUAGCAAAUCUCAGUUGUUGGUACUUACCUAAUAAAUUAUAAUUAACUGCUGCA